CUUAUAUCAUUUGCAACUGGAGUUAGCGAGCUCUCCCUUCACCCUGACUCAACGCGCUACAACGGCUAGUUUCUAAACAGUAGUCGACCAAGAAAUUCAUUGUUCACUGUCUUCCUCCUUCCUUACACAACUAUUUCUCUCUGGAGUUUAUCUUUUUGCAUCGUUGUGCAUUUAAAAAUCAACACCGGUGAAAGUUUUUCUCCCGAAGCCAUGCAGCUCAGAACACAGUUGAGGUGCGUUUUUUCGUUUCGGUUCGGAAAAUUUCAUUAGUCUAAUGUUAUGUCGCUCAGUUUUUUAGCUAGAAGUUUGUGAAACCGGAAAAACCCAGGAUAAAAUCCAUUUUAGCCGCGGGGUUCAAAACGUGGGAAAAAAGUAUCGGCGUAUAGUCCGAAAAAUACAGUAGUCAUUCGUUCAUAAUUCAGCAGCACAGUGCAAAAAUCAUGCAGAUGCUGGUUAAGAGCUUCAGUUAAUGUUCAGAAUUACAAUAAUGUCAAUGUAAUUAUCAGAAUAGGGGAAAUUGUGAUCUGUGGCUUUAACUGUUGCAUGGUUGCUGGUACCAGGUGGGCUAUUGGGGUACCAGAUGGGGUAUUUCAGAAACUGCUGGUAUUAUUGGAUUUUCACAACAAAUAAACAUUCUGUGAAGGAAAGGUUUGCAGGAUAAAACAGCUUAUUGAGAGAGAUCAGAGGAUAAUGACCAAACUGGUUGUAGCUGACUAAAGGCAGGAUUCUCAAAUAUGCACACUUUGUCUUAGCACACACAACACUUCCUAGCUUGAGGGCAAUCGGCUACAAAAGCAGAAUACCACAAGAAUUUGUACUCUUGUCAACCAAGAAUGUUAUUAUAUCAUGCGCAGAGACUUAACAAAAUUAAAUAUUUAAAGAUGUGAAAAGGCCGGCUACAACCCCCCAACCGCCUUUAAAUUUUAUCUGCCCAGUUUGGGUGCGUUUGAUAUAUCCUGUUCUUAGCUUACAUGAGUAGAACUCAUUGGGGUGUUCUGCUAUUGUAGCUGUUAUAGCAAUGUUUGGUGCAUGAUGAGAUGCUUUUCUGUAAUAAGUGAUAAUUCAAGUUAUAAUAUCCAUCCUUUCAUCUUAGACCAGUUUAGUUAUUACCCUCUGAUCUCUUGUCAACAAUAAAUUUCCCACAGACCUAUUGCUAAGUCAAAAAUGUUUUUUUCACCAUUCAUCGUGAACUCAGGAGUUAUGUGUAAACAGAGCAGCAGUGUGUAAAAUUCUAAGUUUAGUCCUUCUGGAAUCAAUAUCCAUGUCACAAUCAAAAUCACAGUAAUCCUUCUGAUUUAUUUUCAUAGUGAUGUUUGAUGUUAAUAUUAACAGAAGUUCUUGUCUUAUCUGCAUAAUUUAAUUGUAUCGUGCUACUGCCACAUUAUUGUCAACUGCAUUAGAAAACUGCAUGAAUGUACAGGUGUUUAUAGGUAAAAUGAAUAGUUGGUGUGCAUCCAACAUAGCAUAAAUGCUUAGCAUUAUUUUCUGGACCUAUUACCCAGCCAACAUGUCCAUGUGGGACCACAUGGGUUUUAUCUGGGUUAUAUGGGCAUCACGUGGGCAUGGGGUCAGAGUGGGCACUUUGAUGGGCUGAAUGUGGGCCCCAGUUUAGUCAGGUUUGUGGGCCCCAGUUAGGUUGCCCAUCUUGUUUAUUUGAGGGCCACAUUUGGGCUAUAUUUAGCACAAUUUUGAUAAAAGAAAUCUAUCAUUCAAUUUAUCAUUUGAUGAUGAAUUCAAUUGAUAUGUUUUUUGUGUGUUUUAUAAGAUCAAUAAAUUAACAAAAAAAUUAUAUAUUAACAAUAACAUAGUAUGACCUUUAGUCAAAAAAAAAAGAAUCGGUUGUGCAGAUCACAGCGCCUCCCAUUGGCUCCUGUGCUCCCACCUUCUCAUUCUGAAGAAACUCACUACCACUAGAGCACCUGUCCUGACCUGGAUAACCUGACAUCUCUGUCACGGGAGCCUGAAGCAUAACCAUUUGCUGAAAACUGUCAGUAAGAAAGAGCUGGAGAAAACGCUUGGUGAAUGGUUCACUAAUGCAAAAGACAGAGAAAGCAACCGUGCUUUGAAAGCCCAGUGGGACCAUGAUCGAAAGGGCAGUACAGCCGGAAGUGUGUGCAGCCAAGUAAUCUGCAUAGACCCACCAGUGAACUAUUCUACUUUAGUAAUUCUGUUAUUCCUGUUUCCUGUUUUUUUUACUGGAAUUAAUUUAA